rnacentral:rRNA from 1 species
CCUACGGGGGGCAGCAGUGAGGAAUAUUGGUCAAUGGCCGGAAGGCUGAACCAGCCAAGCCGCGUGAAGGACGAAGGUGCCAAGCAUUGUAAACUUCUUUUGUCAAGGGACAAAAUCAGGCUCGAGAGCCUGACCGCGGGUACUUGAAGAAAAAGCAUCGGCUAACUCCGUGCCAGCAGCCGCGGUAAUACGGAGGAUGCGAGCGUUAUCCGGAUUUAUUGGGUUUAAAGGGUGCGUAGGCGGAUGGUUAAGUCAGCGGUAAAAGACUGGGGCUAAACGCCGGCGUGCCGUUGAAACUGGCUGUCUUGAGAUGUCGUGAGGUAUGCGGAAUGCGCAGUGUAGCGGUGAAAUGCUUAGAUAUUGCGCAGAACUCCGAUUGCGAAGGCAGCAUACCGGCGGCGAACUGACGCUGAGGCACGAAAGCGUGGGUAUCGAACAGGAUUAGAUACCCGAGUAGUC